ensembl:snRNA U4 U4 spliceosomal RNA
AACUUUGCAAAGUAGCAAUUGUUGUAGCCAAUGAGGUUUAUCUGAGGCACAAUUAUUGCUAAUUGAAAACUUUUCCCAGUACCUCUCUGUGACGACUUGCAAUAUAGUUGGCAUUGGCAAUUUUGACAGUCUCCACAGAGA